AAAAUUAUACUUUCAGGGAUAAUUUAUAGAAUUUUUAUUAGCAAAGUUUCUCUGAUCAUAUAGAGCACCCAAAACCCGGAGGAGAGGUUCAAAGUAUUCUCUCCUGAGCAUGAAGCUAGUUUUAGGUGUUGUUUUUGCAAUUGCCUUUUGCCACUGAUGAUCAUUCUUCUUUUCCUUUUGGAAGAGGGAAAAGGAGAUGAUGAAUUCUGAAGAGA